UACGUAGGUGGCAAGCGUUGUUCGGAAUUACUGGGCGUAAAGGGCGCGCAGGCGGCUGCUCAAGUCAGGCGUGAAAGGCCUGGGCUCAACCCGGGAAUUGCGCUUGAGACUGGGCUGGCUUGAGUGCGGGAGAGGAUGGUGGAAUUCCCAGUGUAGAGGUGAAAUUCGUAGAUAUUGGGAAGAACACCGGUGGCGAAGGCGGCCAUCUGGACCGCAACUGACGCUGAGGCGCGAAAGCGUGGGGAGCAAACAGG
rnacentral:rRNA from 1 species